rnacentral:tRNA from 1 species
GGGGCUGUAGCUCAGUGGUAGAGCGUCCGCUUUGCAUGCGGAGGUUCAAAUCUUCAAAUCCUCGCAGCUCCA